GACGAACGCUGGCGGCGUGCUUAACACAUGCAAGUCGAACGGAAAGGCCCUGCUCUUGCGGGGUGCUCGAGUGGCGAACGGGUGAGUAACACGUGAGUAACCUGCCCUUGACUUUGGGAUAACUUCAGGAAACUGGGGCUAAUACCGGAUAGGAGCUCCUGCUGCAUGGUGGGGGUUGGAAAGUUUCGGCGGUUGGGGAUGGACUCGCGGCUUAUCAGCUUGUUGGUGUGGUAGUGGCUGACCAAGGCUUUGACGGGUAGCCGGCCUGAGAGGGUGAACGGCCACCUUGGGACUGAGAUACGGACCAGACUCCUACGGGAGGCAGCAGUGGGGAAUAUUGCACAAUGGGCGGAAGCCUGAUGCAGCAGCGCCGCGUGCGGGAUGACGGCCUUCGGGUGGUAAACCGAUUUCGCCGGUGACGAAGCGUGAGUGACGGUAAUGGGUAAAGAAGCACCGGCUAACUACGUG
rnacentral:rRNA from 1 species